AAUAGUGCCACAACUGCGCAAACAAAUGGUAAUAAUGUAAAUAUAAAGGUUAAUCGAACUUUUUCAUUGGGCGUAAAUACAUACAUGGUUCGAAAGAAAGAUGAAUCGCAGAGCUUAACUUGAACUGCAUUUUUAACUACCGAGCUAGAGUGUGUCAGAGGGAGGUGGAAUUCCGCGUGUAGCAGUGAAAUGCGUAGAUAUGCGGAGGAACACCGAUGGCGAAGGCAGCCUCCUGGGAUAACACUGACGCUCAUGCACGAAAGCGUGGGGGAGCAAACAGGAUUAGAUACCCUGGUAGUCCACGCCCUAAACGAUGUCAAUCAUGCCGGGGCCUUCGGGCCUUUGGUAGCGCAGCUAACGCGUGAAGUUGACCGCCUGGGGAGUACGGUCGCAAGAUUAAAACUCAAAGGAAUUGACGGGGACUCCGCACAAGCGGUGGAUGAUGUGGAUUAACGAUAACGCGAAAAAACCUUACCUACCCUGACAUGUCUGGAAAUCCCGAAGAGAUUUGGGAGUGCUCGCAAGAGAACCGGAACACAGGUGCUGCAAGGGCUGUCGUCAGCUCGUGUCGCGAGAUGUUGGUUGGUCCCCGCAACGAGCGCAACCCUUGUCAAUAGUUGCUACGAAAGGGCGUUUCCUAAUGAGACUGUCGGUGACAAACCGGAGGAAGGUGGGGAUGACGUCAAGUCCUCAUGGCCCUGCAGGGUAGGUCGGCACGCCAUAGCAUGUUUGUCGGGACAGAGGGUCGCCAACCCGCGAGGGGGAGCUAAUCCCAGAAACCUCGAUCGUAGUCCGGAUCGCAGUCUGGGUAACUCGACUGCGUGAAGUCGGAAUCGCUAGUGCAAUCGCGGAUCAGCAUGUCGCGGUGAAUACGUUCCCGGGUCUUGUACACACCGCCCGUCACACUCAUGGGAGUGGGCUUUUACCAUAGUUAGCCUAACCGUAAGGAGGGCUAUCACUACUGUAGGAUCUAUGAUCAGUGUAGUCGUAACAAGGUAG
rnacentral:rRNA from 1 species